rnacentral:rRNA from 1 species
CGCGGUUAUCCCGCAAGGGCUAACUGAGUGGCGAACGGGUGAGUAACGCGUGGGUGACCUACCUUCGAGUGGGGGAUAACGUCCCGAAAGGGACGCUAAUACCGCAUAACAUCCUCUUUUUGAACAGAGGGAGAUCAAAGCCGGGGAUCGCAAGACCUGGCGCUUGAUGAGGGGCCCGCGUCUGAUUAGCUAGUUGGUGAGGUAACGGCUCACCAAGGCGACGAUCAGUAUCCGGCCUGAGAGGGCGGACGGACACACUGGGACUGAGACACGGCCCAGACUCCUACGGGAGGCAGCAGUGGGGAAUUGUUCGCAAUGGGCGCAAGCCUGACGACGCAACGCCGCGUGGAGGAUGAAGGUCUUCGGAUUGUAAACUCCUGUUGCCCGGGACGAAUAGCUUCGACCUAACACGUCGGAGUAUGACGGUACCGGGUGAGGAAGCCCCGGCUAACUCUGUGCCAGCAGCCGCGGUAAUA